CGCCAGCUCUUUUAUGAAAAAUCUAAUAAAGCCGACUCCUUGCUUGCCCGUAAACUCAACCGCAGAGCUACGCACCAAAAAAUCACCAAAAUCCACUCGAGAGAAGGGACACCUCAGGAGUCGCCAGACCAAAUAGCAAAAGUAUUCCAAGAAUACUUUUCGGAGCUGUACGACCACAGUCCCCAACACAGACAGAACCCCACUCCACUUGCGAGCAUGAUCAAUGAAUACCUUGACUCUGUCACC